CGUUGCACUGUUUAUUUCAUAUUAUAAUAUUAAUUUCAGACUUUUUUGCACCAUUACAAUCACCGUUGUAGUCUUUCACCCUACGUUGCACUAUUAAUCGCUGUGCGCGUCGCACCGUUAAUUCCGUCGCUUUUUAAUGCUAGUGGCAAGCACGAAGAGUGACGUGUACGUUAUAUUCGGUUAAGUGAGGAGAAGAGGCACCGGCGGGUUUGUCAGCCGACGAUUUGUUUUGUUUAAAUAUCGGUUUUUCAGACGCAU
rnacentral:lncRNA from 1 species